ACCUUUUAACCUUGGAAGCAGAAUUGAGACUCAUAAAGAGGAGGUUUUCCCAAUAGUUAUUAAUUUCUAUCACAUCUUUCUCCUAUAAAUAACCCAACAUUUUUUCAUCUCAUUUCAACUUCAUCUUUUUCUCAAUCCACUCUUUCUUGGUUUUCCCUCUGGGUUUGAUUGGUGAUAUCUUUUGAAGUAUUGGUUAAGACUAGGAUUCUUUUGUGUACAAGGUGCUGCUAUAACCUCUCUGUUUUUAGUCUAGGCCUUAUUUCUAUGAUUUUUUUUCUUUCCCUGUUUUGGUGGGAUCCGUUUAUUUGUAGGUUGUUGGGGUGCUUUUGGCUCUGAUAAAUGGCAUGGUAGUCGUUGUAGCUAUAAUUCGUUCCUGGCAUCGAUGAUGAUGAAUCAGAUGCUGUGCUUAACUGAAAGCUGGAAAGGGAUACAUGCUUUAUCUUUCUGGGUUAUGGAAAGAAUGCUUAUAGAGUUGUUUUCGGCCUCUGCCACUUUACUUAGCUUGAUUUUCAUCAUGAUUUAUUCACUGUUUAGGGAGUGGAAUCAGCAAUGUGAUCUAAAAUUCUUAAAAUUGAUGUCUACAUUGUCAAAGCAAUAACAAGUCACUCAUUAAGGGCCUUAAAUGGAGAAUUGUGAGGCAGCAUCCCUGAUGCCUGGCUUGGGACCAUGGCUUAGUAUAGUUGUGAAUAAUUGUGAACCAUUCACACCACAACCCACAUCGCAGCAACCACAAUACCUGCAACCGUGAAAAUCGAAACGCGACCACGAUCGUGUCCACGACCGAUAUUUAAAACCUUACCAUGGCAGAAUCUUUGCAUCGCUUGGACUCGUCAGUGUUACAUGUCCUAUUGCACUUUGGCAUGCUACUCCUACAUGGCUACACAUUGGUAUUACAGUAGAAGAAAAUCAUUGGCAACGAAGUAAAGAGUUUAGGAACUAACCAUCCCUGUCAGGAUCCGGGUCUGCUACGUAUAUAUUUCGUCCAAAGACCAUGUAUGGCUUAAAUCUAAAAGAGAGCAGGAACCUACGAAAGAUGUUAAGCAUUGAUAACUUCAAAGGGGAAAAUCAGAAUUCAUAAUUGGCCAAGAAAUAAACUUAUAUAGUAUAAAUUAAGCAUCUGCAAACUCAAGAAGAUGCUUCUAUCAUCAAACAAAAAAAGGAACUGUUAAGAAUUUUAAGAUGGUUCAGAUGAAAUUAAGAAGACUUAACCUGUUAAACACAUUCAUUGUGGUGCAUCUUGAAAACUUUGAACUUUUAUAUGGUGGUUUAAUUCCAACUUCCUAACUUUCAUUUCACAAAAGAAGUCUAUGAGGAAUAUUCAAGUGCAAGGUAAGAAGACAUUAACAAGCUUAAUAGAAUCUAAUCAGGAAUGAGACAUACUGUCUUAGUAACGUGACUUUCCCAAGCAUUGUGAUGUAGUGGCGGGUUUCUAACUUGUUGAUCAUUAAUUAUUGGAAUUAGCUUCUGAUGAGAACAUAUUUGAACCCCUGUAGUUUUUAAGUUUUUGACAU